rnacentral:rRNA from 1 species
GAUGAACGCUAGCGGCAGGCUUAAUACAUGCAAGUCGUGGGGCAGCAUGAGUGUAGCAAUACAUUUGAUGGCGACCGGCAAACGGGUGCGGAACACGUACACAACCUUCCUUCAAGUGGGGAAUAGCCCAGGGAAACUUGGAUUAAUACCCCGUAAUAUUAUGGAGUGGCAUCACUUUAUAAUUAUAGCUCCGGCGCUUGAUGAUGGGUGUGCGCCUGAUUAGGUAGUUGGCGGGGUAACGGCCCACCAAGCCUGCGAUCAGUAACUGGUGUGAGAGCACGACCAGUCACACUGGGACUGAGACACGGCCCAGACUCCGACGGGAGGCAGCAGUGGGGAAUUUUGGACAAUGGGGGCAACCCUGAUCCAGCAAUGCCGCGUGAGUGAAGAAGGCCUUCGGGUUGUAAAGCUCUUUUGUCAGGGAAGAAACACCGGCUCUAACACAGUCCGGGAAUGACGGUACCUGAAGAAUAAGCACCGGCUAACUACGUGCCAGCCGCCGCCGUAACAC